UACAGAGGUCUCAAGCGUUGUUCGGAUUCAUUGGGCGUAAAGGGUGCGUAGGCGGCGCGGUAAGUCGGGUGUGAAAUCUCGGGGCUUAACUCCGAAACUGCAUUCGAUACUACCGUGCUUGAGGACUGGAGAGGAGACUGGAUUUACGGUGUAGCGGUGAAAUGCGUAGAUAUCGUAAGGAAGACCAGUGGCGAAGGCGGGUCUCUGGACAGUUCCUGACGCUGAGGCACGAAGGCCAGGGGAGCAAACGGG
rnacentral:rRNA from 1 species